GCUCCCCCUGCUCCAAACCCAGCCAAAGAGCCAUUAUGUGCUGGUGGUUGGUGCAGAAGAAGGGUAAGAAGGUGCCCAAGCAGAAGUUUCCCUGCAGCCCAUGGUGAGAUGGCAGCUGUCCCCCUGCACUCGUGGAGGAACGUGGUGGAACAUUUCCUGAAGGCGCCAGGAGGGGUGAACCUGGUCAGUGGACUUGGAUUUUGUGGCCAGAGGAUUUGCUGCCUGUGGACUCUGAUUGUGCAGCUUUGGAAGACCCCGGCACCAGGGGAGUUUGUUCCCAAAGCAGCCCGUGACUCUGUGGGAAGCCCAGGCUGGAGCAGCUCUGGAUCUCGUGGGAAGGACUCAUGAAGGAGAGGUUGUAAAUUGGUUACCCUUCGUUAUCAAAGAGACAUUAAAACACGGUCUGGAGCUGUGACAGCUAUUACUUGCGUCUAAAAAUCUGUUGAAGUAAAGCCAUGAAAUGACCAUCACUGAAGUCCAGAAGGUGUUGGAUCAGGCCUCCCUGAUACUUUCUUCACGUGUGGCAGCACUUGAAUAGCCCUGGCUCUUCGUAACAUUGGCACUGCAUCAGCACUCUUAGGGGCUGUGGUCUGUUCAUUCCUCAAAAAACAGUAAACUAGCUCUAAACUAACAAGAGUCAAAUUAGUUGGUGUACCUCAGGCUUCAGCAGCUGAGUCUUUAAAUAGGAUUUCUGGCAGAUCUGUGCCUGCCUGAGACAUAUCCCACUGCAGCUGCACUGCUCUAGGUAGCAGAACUCUGAACUGUAUGGUUGGUAGCCAGUUGCUACCAGACAGACCAGCCAAAAAUGUGUUGAUUAAAUCAGUUAACCCACUGCAUGCAGGAAGACCAAAGUGAAAUAUAUAUGCAAAGUUUAAUCUCUGAUACUGGCUGGUCAAGCUGGAAGAAGAUAAUUGGCACGUUUAUAGCUUCCUAGGCCACUAGAAAA